GUGGGACAGAUGAUUAGGGUGAAGUCGUAACAAGGUAGCCGUAGGAGAACCUGCGGCUGGAUCACCUCCUUUCUAAGGAA
rnacentral:rRNA from 2 species